AGCUUGAUGUCAUUGAGUGGACACAAAAUAUAUGGUCCGAAAGGCGUUGGAGCUUUGUAUAUGCGCAGGCGACCAAGAAUCCGAGUGGAGCCCCAAAUGAAUGGAGGUGGACAAGAGAGAGGGAUACGAAGUGGGACGGUGCCCACUCCUUUAGUUGUCGGAAUGGGUGCUGCUUGUGAAUUGGCGAAGAAGGAGAUGGAGUAUGAUGAUAAGAGAAUUACAGCAUUGCAGGAGAGGUUGCUGAAUGGAAUUAAAGCUAAACUCGAUGGAGUGGUGGUGAAUGGGAGCUUAGAGAGGCGAUACGCAGGGAAUUUAAAUCUUUCCUUUGCGUAUGUAGAAGGGGAGAGCUUAUUGAUGGGGUUGAAGGAUGUGGCAGUGUCAAGUGGGAGUGCCUGUACUAGCGCGAGUUUGGAGCCUUCAUAUGUGUUGAGGGCAUUGGGGGUGGAUGAGGACAU
rnacentral:misc_RNA from 1 species